rnacentral:rRNA from 1 species
UUAUGACUUGGGCUUACACGUGCUACCAUGGGAGGUACAGAGGGUCGCGAAAGAGCGAUCUGAAGCUAAUCUCUUAAAUCUGUCCCAGUUCGGAUUGUACUCUGCAACUCGCCUACAUGAAGUUGGAAUUGCUAGUAAUCGCGAAUCAGAAUGUCGCGGUGAAUGCGUUCCCGGGUCUUGUACACACCGCCCGUCACACCAUGAGAGUUGGUAAUACCCGAAGCCUGUGAGCGAACCAAUUGGACGCAGCCGUCUAAGGUAGGAUCAAUGACUGGGGUGAAGUCGUAACAAGGUAGCCGU